AUUGAACGCUGGCGGCAGGCCUAACACAUGCAAGUCGAGCGGAGCGGCGGACGGGUGAGUAAUGCCUAGGAAUCUGCCUGGUAGUUGGGGAUAACGUCCGGUAACGAGAGCUAAUACCGCAUACUAUCAGAUGAGCCUAGGUCGGAUUAGCUAGUUGGUGUGGUAAAGGCCUACCAAGGCGACGAACCGUAACUGGUCUGAGAGGAUGAUCAGUCACACUGGAACUGAGACACGGUCCAGACUCCUACGGGAGGCAGCAGUGGGGAAUAGUGGACAAUGGGCGAAAGCCUGAUCCAGCCAUGCCGCGUGUGUGAAGAAGGUCUUCGGAUUGUAAAGCACUUUAAGUUGGGAGGCGUUACCAACAGAAUAAGCACCGGCUAACUUCGUGCCAGCAGCCGCGGUAAUAC
rnacentral:rRNA from 1 species